CCGGUAAACGGCGGCCGUAACUAUAACGGUCCUAAGGUAGCGAAAUUCCUUGUCGGGUAAGUUCCGACCUGCACGAAUGGCGUAAUGAUGGCCAGGCUGUCUCCACCCGAGACUCAGUGAAAUUGAACUCGCUGUGAAGAUGCAGUGUACCCGCGGCAAGACGGAAAGACCCCGUGAACCUUUACUAUAGCUUGACACUGAACAUUGAGCCUUGAUGUGUAGGAUAGGUGGGAGGCUUUGAAGUGUGGACGCCAGUCUGCAUGGAGCCGACCUUGAAAUACCACCCUUUAAUGUUUGAUGUUCUAACGUUGACCCGUAAUCCGGGUUGCGGACAGUGUCUGGUGGGUAGUUUGACUGGGGCGGUCUCCUCCUAAAGAGUAACGGAGGAGCACGAAGGUUGGCUAAUCCUGGUCGGACAUCAGGAGGUUAGUGCAAUGGCAUAAGCCAGCUUGACUGCGAGCGUGACGGCGCGAGCAGGUGCGAAAGCAGGUCAUAGUGAUCCGGUGGUUCUGAAUGGAAGGGCCAUCGCUCAACGGAUAAAAGGUACUCCGGGGAUAACAGGCUGAUACCGCCCAAGAGUUCAUAUCGACGGCGGUGUUUGGCACCUCGAUGUCGGCUCAUCACAUCCUGGGGCUGAAGUAGGUCCCAAGGGUAUGGCUGUUCGCCAUUUAAAGUGGUACGCGAGCUGGGUUUAGAACGUCGUGAGACAGUUCGGUCCCUAUCUGCCGUGGGCGCUGGAGAACUGAGGGGGGCUGCUCCUAGUACGAGAGGACCGGAGUGGACGCAUCACUGGUGUUCGGGUUGUCAUGCCAAUGGCACUGCCCGGUAGCUAAAUGCGGAAGAGAUAAGUGCUGAAAGCAUCUAAGCACGAAACUUGCCCCGAGAUGAGUUCUCCCUGACUCCUUGAGAGUCCUGAAGGAACGUUGAAGACGACGACGUUGAUAGGCCGGGUGUGUAAGCGCAGCGAUGCGUUGAGCUAACCGGUACUAAUGAACCGUGAGGCUUAACCUU
rnacentral:rRNA from 1 species